GAUGAACGCUGGCGGCGUGCCUAAUACAUGCAAGUCGAGCGAACAGACGAGGAGCUUGCUCCUCUGACGUUAGCGGCGGACGGGUGAGUAACACGUGGAUAACCUACCUAUAAGACUGGGAUAACUUCGGGAAACCGGAGCUAAUACCGGAUAAUAUAUUGAACCGCAUGGUUCAAUAGUGAAAGACGGUUUUGCUGUCACUUAUAGAUGGAUCCGCGCCGCAUUAGCUAGUUGGUAAGGUAACGGCUUACCAAGGCGACGAUGCGUAGCCGACCUGAGAGGGUGAUCGGCCACACUGGAACUGAGACACGGUCCAGACUCCUACGGGAGGCAGCAGUAGGGAAUCUUCCGCAAUGGGCGAAAGCCUGACGGGGCAACGCCGCGUGAGUGAUGAAGGUCUUCGGAUCGUAGAACGCUGUUAUUAGGGAAGAACAAAUGUGUAAGUAACUAUGCACGUCUUGACGGUACCUAAUCAGAAAGCCACGGCUAACUACGUG
rnacentral:rRNA from 1 species